GUGCUUGCUUUGGUAGCACAUAUACUAAAAUUGAAACAAUACAGAAAUUAGCAUGGCCCCUGCACAAGAUUCACAUGAAAAUUUGUGAAGCAUUCCACAUUUUC